UACGUAGGGGGCAAGCGUUGUCCGGAAUCAUUGGGCGUAAAGCGCGUGUAGGCGGUCCGGUAAGUCCGCUGUGAAAGUCGGGGGGCUCAACCCUCGGAUGCCGGUGGAUACUGUCGGGCUUGAGUACGGAAGAGGCGAGUGGAAUUCCUGGUGUAGCGGUGAAAUUCGUAGAUAUUGGGAAGAACACCGGUGGCGAAGGCGGCGACCUGGUCCGAUACUGACGCUGAGGCGCGAAAGCGUGGGGAGCGAACAGG
rnacentral:rRNA from 1 species